rnacentral:rRNA from 2 species
UGGGGAAUCUUCCGCAAUGGACGAAAGUCUGACGGAGCAACGCCGCGUGUAUGAAGAAGGCCUUCGGGUUGUAAAGUACUGUUGUUAGGGAAGAACGGCUUUUGUGUAAAUAAUGCAAGAGAUUGACGGUACCUAACGAGGAAGCCCCGGCUAACUACGUGCCAGCAGCCGCGGUAAUACGUAGGGGGCAAGCGUUGUCCGGAAUUAUUGGGCGUAAAGGGCGCGUAGGCGGCUGUACAAGUCUGAUGUGAAAGUGCGGGGCUUAACCCCGUAAAGCAUUGGAAACUGUACGGCUUGAGGACAGGAGAGGAAAGUGGAAUUCCUAGUGUAGCGGUGAAAUGCGUAGAUAUUAGGAGGAACACCAGUGGCGAAGGCGACUUUCUGGACUGUAACUGACGCUGAGGCGCGAAAGCGUGGGGAGCAAACAGG